UAGGGAAUCUUCCACAAUGGGCGAAAGCCUGAUGGAGCAACGCCGCGUGAGUGAAGAAGGUUUUCGGAUCGUAAAACUCUGUUGUAAGGGAAGAACAAGUGCAGUAGUAACUGGCUGCACCUUGACGGUACCUUAUUAGAAAGCCACGGCUAACUACGUGCCAGCUAGCCGCGGUAAUACGUAGGUGGCAAGCGUUGUCCGGAAUUAUUGGGCGUAAAGCGCGCGCAGGCGGUUUCUUAAGUCUGAUGUGAAAGCCCCCGGCUUAACCGGGGAGGGUCAUUGGAAACUGGGAGACUUGAGUGCAGAAGAGGAAAGUGGAAUUCCAAGUGUAGCGGUGAAAUGCGUAGAGAUUUGGAGGAACACCAGUGGCGAAGGCGACUUUCUGGUCUGUAACUGACGCUGAGGCGCGAAAGCGUGGGGGAGCGAAACAGGAUUAGAUACCCUGGUAGUCCACGCCGUAAACGAUGAGUGCUAAGUGUUAGGGGGUUUCGCCCCUUAGUGCUGCA
rnacentral:rRNA from 1 species